rnacentral:rRNA from 1 species
CCUACGGGAGGCAGCAGUGGGGGAUAUUGCACAAUGGGGGGAACCCUGAUGCAGCGACGCCGCGUGGGUGAAGAAGCGCCUCGGCGCGUAAAGCCCUGUCAGCAGGGAAGAAAAUGACGGUACCUGAAGAAGAAGCCCCGGCUAACUACGUGCCAGCAGCCGCGGUAAUACGUAGGGGGCAAGCGUUAUCCGGAUUUACUGGGUGUAAAGGGGGCGCAGACGGCGAUGCAAGCCAGGAGUGAAAGCCCGGGGCCCAAGCCCGGGACUGCUCUUGGAACUGCGUGGCUGGAGUGCAGGAGGGGCAGGCGGAAUUCCUGGUGUAGCGGUGGAAUGCGUAGAUAUCAGGAGGAACACCGGUGGCGAAGGCGGCCUGCUGGACUGCAACUGACGUUGAGGCCCGAAAGCGUGGGGAGCAAACAGGAUUAGAUACCCGGGUAGUC